UUCUAUACAGUUAUGGAAUGUGUUUCGUUAUGCCAGUAUUAUUUGUAUAUUGUGCAAGUGUGAUAAGUAUUUUAUUCGUUUGGCCAUGCUAGCUCCGUAAAGCGAUAAUAUUUUGUUUAUUCGCGACGGGGACAUUGAAUUCUGGUUCGGAAAUUGCACGUUUUUCACACAGACAUACACAUGCUCGUGAUAACGAAUUCACAACAGAAUCAUAAUUGUAGCGUAUUUAGCGCUUGUUUCGCACAUUCCUCAUAGAACUUGAAUAAAAAUGUUGUGACGAAGAAUGGAAGCGUAUCUACUCGACAAGCUAUAAUUAUGAAUUACAUAUUGUACUGUACAAUGAAAAGUGACACGUACAGUCAAUUGCCGUGAAGAAGUAAAAGAAAUUUUACACAGUUGAGUGGACACUUAAAAAAAUAAUAUUGCUAUCACAUCAAGAAUUUUUUCCAAGCCUUAACUGGACGUGCAACAACAAAAUAAGACACAGGCAAACUAAAAACUGUUUUCAAAACACUUGUUAGAGUUUCGAAAUGUAGUUUGGUGUGAAGUUGUUUUCAAGUACGCUUCGGUUCACGUACAAUCAACGUGAACUUGGUUCAACAACAACCGUUCAUAUGACAUACAUGCAUACGCAAAACAUGUGCUCAAAAUAAUACAAAUAGACGAACUUUUAGAACUGA